rnacentral:rRNA from 1 species
UACGUAGGGUGCGAGCGUUAAUCGGAAUUACUGGGCGUAAAGCGUGCGCAGGCGGUUCGUUGUGUCGGUGGUGAAAGCCCGGGCUUAACCUGGGAAUGGCCAUGGAAACUGGCGAACUGGAGUGUGGCAGAGGGGGGUGGAAUUCCGCGUGUAGCAGUGAAAUGCGUAGAGAUGCGGAGGAACACCGAUGGCGAAGGCAGCCCCCUGGGCUAGCACUGACGCUCAGGCACGAAAGCGUGGGGAGCAAACAGG